rnacentral:rRNA from 1 species
GAUGAAGGACGUUACUAACUACGAUAUGCUUUGGGGAGCUGUAAGUAAGCUUUGAUCCAGAGAUUUCCGAAUGGGGAAACCCAGCAUGAGUUAUGUCAUGUUAUCGAUAUGUGAAUACAUAGCAUAUCAGAAGGCACACCCGGAGAACUGAAACAUCUUAGUACCCGGAGGAAGAGAAAGAAAAUUCGAUUCCCUUAGUAGCGGCGAGCGAAACGGGAAGAGCCCAAACCAACAAGCUUGCUUGUUGGGGUUGUAGGACACUCUAUACGGAGUUACAAAGGACGACAUUAGACGAAUCAUCUGGAAAGAUGAAUCAAAGAAGGUAAUAAUCCUGUAGUCGAAAAUGUUGUCUCUCUUGAGUGGAUCCUGAGUACGACGGAGCACGUGAAAUUCCGUCGGAAUCUGGGAGGACCAUCUCCUAAGGCUAAAUACUCUCUAGUGACCGAUAGUGAACCAGUACCGUGAGGGAAAGGUGAAAAGCACCCCGGAAGGGGAGUGAAAUAGAACCUGAAACCGUGUGCUUACAAGUAGUCAGAGCCCGUUAAUGGGUGAUGGCGUGCCUUUUGUAGAAUGAACCGGCGAGUUACGAUUUGAUGCAAGGUUAAGCAGUAAAUGUGGAGCCGUAGCGAAAGCGAGUCUGAAUAGGGCGUUUAGUAUUUGGUCGUAGACCCGAAACCAGGUGAUCUACCCUUGGUCAGGUUGAAGUUCAGGUAACACUGAAUGGAGGACCGAACCGACUUACGUUGAAAAGUGAGCGGAUGAACUGAGGGUAGCGGAGAAAUUCCAAUCGAACCUGGAGAUAGCUGGUUCUCUCCGAAAUAGCUUUAGGGCUAGCCUCAAGUGAUGAUUAUUGGAGGUAGAGCACUGUUUGGACGAGGGGCCCCUCUCGGGUUACCGAAUUCAGACAAACUCCGAAUGCCAAUUAAUUUAACUUGGGAGUCAGAACAUGGGUGAUAAGGUCCGUGUUCGAAAGGGAAACAGCCCAGACCACCAGCUAAGGUCCCAAAAUAUAUGUUAAGUGGAAAAGGAUGUGGCGUUGCCCAGACAACUAGGAUGUUGGCUUAGAAGCAGCCAUCAUUUAAAGAGUGCGUAAUAGCUCACUAGUCGAGUGACACUGCGCCGAAAAUGUACCGGGGCUAAACAUAUUACCGAAGCUGUGGAUUGUCCUUUGGACAAUGGUAGGAGAGCGUUCUAAGGGCGUUGAAGCAUGAUCGUAAGGACAUGUGGAGCGCUUAGAAGUGAGAAUGCCGGUGUGAGUAGCGAAAGACGGGUGAGAAUCCCGUCCACCGAUUGACUAAGGUUUCCAGAGGAAGGCUCGUCCGCUCUGGGUUAGUCGGGUCCUAAGCUGAGGCCGACAGGCGUAGGCGAUGGAUAACAGGUUGAUAUUCCUGUACCACCUAUAAUCGUUUUAAUCGAUGGGGGGACGCAGUAGGAUAGGCGAAGCGUGCGAUUGGAUUGCACGUCUAAGCAGUAAGGCUGAGUAUUAGGCAAAUCCGGUACUCGUUAAGGCUGAGCUGUGAUGGGGAGAAGACAUUGUGUCUUCGAGUCGUUGAUUUCACACUGCCGAGAAAAGCCUCUAGAUAGAAAAUAGGUGCCCGUACCGCAAACCGACACAGGUAGUCAAGAUGAGAAUUCUAAGGUGAGCGAGCGAACUCUCGUUAAGGAACUCGGCAAAAUGACCCCGUAACUUCGGGAGAAGGGGUGCUCUUUAGGGUUAACGCCCAGAAGAGCCGCAGUGAAUAGGCCCAAGCGACUGUUUAUCAAAAACACAGGUCUCUGCUAAACCGUAAGGUGAUGUAUAGGGGCUGACGCCUGCCCGGUGCUGGAAGGUUAAGAGGAGUGGUUAGCUUCUGCGAAGCUACGAAUCGAAGCCCCAGUAAACGGCGGCCGUAACUAUAACGGUCCUAAGGUAGCGAAAUUCCUUGUCGGGUAAGUUCCGACCCGCACGAAAGGCGUAACGAUUUGGGCACUGUCUCAACGAGAGACUCGGUGAAAUCAUAGUACCUGUGAAGAUGCAGGUUACCCGCGACAGGACGGAAAGACCCCGUGGAGCUUUACUGUAGCCUGAUAUUGAAAUUCGGCACAGCUUGUACAGGAUAGGUAGGAGCCUUUGAAACGUGAGCGCUAGCUUACGUGGAGGCGCUGGUGGGAUACUACCCUAGCUGUGUUGGCUUUCUAACCCGCACCACUUAUCGUGGUGGGAGACAGUGUCAGGCGGGCAGUUUGACUGGGGCGGUCGCCUCCUAAAAGGUAACGGAGGCGCUCAAAGGUUCCCUCAGAAUGGUUGGAAAUCAUUCAUAGAGUGUAAAGGCAUAAGGGAGCUUGACUGCGAGACCUACAAGUCGAGCAGGGUCGAAAGACGGACUUAGUGAUCCGGUGGUUCCGCAUGGAAGGGCCAUCGCUCAACGGAUAAAAGCUACCCCGGGGAUAACAGGCUUAUCUCCCCCAAGAGUUCACAUCGACGGGGAGGUUUGGCACCUCGAUGUCGGCUCAUCGCAUCCUGGGGCUGUAGUCGGUCCCAAGGGUUGGGCUGUUCGCCCAUUAAAGCGGUACGCGAGCUGGGUUCAGAACGUCGUGAGACAGUUCGGUCCCUAUCCGUCGUGGGCGUAGGAAAUUUGAGAGGAGCUGUCCUUAGUACGAGAGGACCGGGAUGGACAUACCUCUGGUGUACCAGUUGUCGUGCCAACGGCAUAGCUGGGUAGCUAUGUGUGGACGGGAUAAGUGCUGAAAGCAUCUAAGCAUGAAGCCCCCCUCAAGAUGAGAUUUCCCAACUUCGGUUAUAAGAUCCCUCAAAGAUGAUGAGGUUAAUAGGUUCGAGGUGGAAGCAUGGUGACAUGUGGAGCUGACGAAUACUAA